rnacentral:tRNA from 1 species
GCGCUUGUGGCUCAGUGGUAAAGUAUCUGCUUGGCAUGCACAAGGUCCCAGGUUUGAUCCCCAUCUUUUCCUGUGGAAAAGAU